rnacentral:rRNA from 1 species
UACGAAGGAUGCAAGCGUUAUCCGGAUUCAUUGGGUUUAAAGGGAGCGUAGGCGGCCUUGUAAGUCAGUGGUGAAAUCUGUGGGCUUAACCCACAAACUGCCAUUGAUACUGCAGGUCUAGAGUACAGUUGCCGUUGGCGGAAUAUGACAUGUAGUGGUGAAAUACUUAGAUAUGUCAUAGAACACCGAUUGCGAAGGCAGCUAACGAAGCUGUAACUGACGCUGAGGCUCGAAAGUGCGGGGAUCAAACAGG